rnacentral:rRNA from 1 species
AACGAACGCUGGCGGCAUGCCUAACACAUGCAAGUCGAACGAGACCUUCGGGUCUAGUGGCGCACGGGUGCGUAACGCGUGGGAACCUGCCCUUAGGUUCGGAAUAACUCAGAGAAAUUUGAGCUAAUACCGGAUAAUGUCUUCGGACCAAAGAUUUAUCGCCUUUGGAUGGGCCCGCGUAGGAUUAGCUUGUUGGUGGGGUAAUGGCCUACCAAGGCGACGAUCCUUAGCUGGUCUGAGAGGAUGAUCAGCCACACUGGGACUGAGACACGGCCCAGACUCCUACGGGAGGCAGCAGUGGGGAAUAUUGGACAAUGGGCGAAAGCCUGAUCCAGCAAUGCCGCGUGAGUGAUGAAGGCCUUAGGGUUGUAAAGCUCUUUUACCAGGGAUGAUAAUGACAGUACCUGGAGAAUAAGCUCCGGCUAACUCCGUGCCAGCAGCCGCAGUAA